rnacentral:ribozyme from 11 species
CUCGUUCGUUUUCGACUUUUUUUCUUCUUCUUCCUCCUAUUCUGCAGUUGCUGAAUAAUUUCCGUCUGUGGAACCGAGGAGGUUGGCUCCUGGGCUUUCUUUGCAUUAUAUGCUGAGGAAUGCGUUCGAUUCAUUGAUAUGUAUUGAAUCCAGAAAAUAAUAAGAUCGAGGAAGAAAAUAUAUC